CGAACGCUGGCGGCGCGUCUUAAGCAUGCAAGUCGGACGGCAAGGGUUGUGCUUGCACAACUCCUAGAGUGGCGGACUGGUGAGUAACGCGUGGGUGACUUGCCCUCGAGAUGGGGAUAGCCAUUAGAAAUAGUGGAUAAUACCGAAUACGCUCAUGACCCUGUGGGGAUAUGAGGAAAACAGGCUACGGCCUGGCUCGAGGAUGGGCCCGCGUCCCAUUAGCUAGUUGGUGAGGUAACGGCCCACCAAGGCGACGAUGGGUAUCCGGCCUGAGAGGGUGUACGGACACAUUGGGACUGAGAUACGGCCCAAACUCCUACGGGAGGCAGCAGCUAAGAAUAUUCCGCAAUGGACGAAAGUCUGACGGAGCGACGCCGCGUGGAUGAAGAAGGCCGGAAGGUUAGUAAAAUCCUUUUGAAACUGAAGAAUAAGCGUUGUAGGGAAUGACAGCGUGGUGACAGUUAGGUUUUGAAUAAGCAACGGCUAAUUACGUGCCAGCAGCGGC
rnacentral:rRNA from 1 species